rnacentral:misc_RNA from 1 species
AAUUCUCAACCUUAUCAGCUUUUGCUGAUAAUGGCUUGGACAUGGGGGGUUUCUCUUGCUGGCUUCUUUAUUGAGGUCAGCUCCCCUUAAAUGCAUUAGCUGGUGCUCCAUGUGGACUGUCUAUUGGUGUGAUAAUUAUCUACAUCGUGGAUGUCUGCUUAGCAUUGCUUCUAACUGUCUGUUCAUUCGGACAAUACAUGACA